rnacentral:tRNA from 1 species
AAACCGUGGAAGUAUAUUAUAGAAACUGCUAAUUUCUGUACCGGGGGCUAACUCUU